rnacentral:rRNA from 1 species
CUACGGGUUGCAGCAGUGGGGAAUAUUGGACAAUGGGGGAAACCCUGAUCCAGCAAUGCCGCGUGUGUGAAGAAGGCCUGCGGGUUGUAAAGCACUUUCGGUUGGGAGGACUGCUUCUAGCACUAAUAUUGUUGGAAGUUGACGUUACCUUCAGAAGAAGCACCGGCUAACUCCGUGCCAGCAGCCGCGGUAAUCCGGAGGGUGCAAGCGUUAAUCGGAAUUACUGGGCGGAAAGCGCGCGUAGGCGGCUAGAUCAGUCGGGUGUGAAAGCCCCGGGCUUAACCUGGGAACUGCAUCCGAUACUGUCUAGCUUGAGUACAGGAGAGGAGAGUGGAAUUCCACAUGUAGCGGUGAAAUGCGUAGAUAUGUGGAGGAACACCAAUGGCGAAGGCAGCUCUCUGGCCUGAUACUGACGCUGAGGUGCGAAAGCGUGGGGAGCAAACAGGAUUAGAUACCCCGGUAGUC